rnacentral:rRNA from 1 species
AUACGGAGGGGGCAAGCGUUGUUCGGAAUUAUUGGGCGUAAAGGGCGCGUAGGCGGCCUGGUAAGUCAGUUGUGAAAGCCCUCGGCUCAACCGAGGAAUUGCGACUGAUACUGCCGGGCUUGAGUCCUGGAGAGGGUAGUGGAAUUCCCAGUGUAGCGGUGAAAUGCGUAGAUACUGGGAGGAACACCGGUGGCGAAGGCGACUACCUGGACAGGUACUGACGCUGAGGCGCGAAAGCGUGGGGAGCAAACAGGAUUAGAAACCCCGGUAGUCC